UCUCUCUCUCUCUCUCUCUCUCUCUCUCUAAUAUUUUCUCUCUUCUUUUUUAUCAAAUUUUCUUCAUUUCCUUAAUUCAAUUACGACUGCUUUUUGUGAAGGAGAGAAAAGGAUGGAAGGAGAGGAUCCAUGGUCCCAAUAAUUGGGUCAAUCAAGUGUAUUGGACCUUGGUGUUCUAUUAGGAACACUCUUAAUAAUAAAUUUAUGUUCCACUCAUCCUUAAGGAUGAUCAAAGAUAAAUGACAUAUUUUAUGAUAGAAUAAUGAAAUGGUAGGAUGUUUUAAAGAUAUUCUAACAAUUACAGAAUUCGAUGGGCAGGAGUCCUCCUAACAUUGAAAGAAACUAUAUAAAAUAUAAAUGCAAAUAGAGACUAGUUAAUCUACACGACUACAUGGACACAUUAUAUGCAAAACUUGGUCCAGAUGAAGACAUUUGAUUCAUCUUUUAUUGAUGCAAGGCCAAGAUAGAUAUUAAAUCAAUGUAUCAAACCACAGUUUCACAUCAAUGCCAUUACAUGUCAUUUUAGAUUUUUAGUCAGGGAUGCGGAAGAUAAAUUGGCGGGGUUACAUUGAAAAGUAAAAUCUUUUUCUUUUUGUUUUGUUUGGGGUGCUGCUGAUUGCAUUUUACAUUUAAGAAUGUUCUGGAAGUUCACGGGUAUGUUGCUCUUUUGUGUUGACUUUGCCAAUACUCUUGCGUUGCAGUUGAACUGAAGAAGAAACCCUCCAAAUUAAAGAGACCAUCUAUUAAGUCGCUUUUUGAUUCCGAUUCCGAUUCAACGUCGACUGAGGUUUCUGAUAAGUCUCCAAAUGAUCGGUCUGUUCAAGGAAGCUUUUUAAACCUCUUGCCACCCAGGUUAGGGGCAUCUCAUAGUGAGAGGAGUCUUUCUCAUAAAUCCUAAUAAGGCAAUCUCUGAUCUAUCCAGUCAAACGGCGUAGGUAUCAUAACUCAUGCAUAUAUUUGAUUGUGUUUUAAAUGCCGCUCUAAAUGCAAUUCCAUGUUUGGAUUUGUUAUCUCGGUCACUAAUUAAUGAUUAUGACAAAAUGUUAUAAGAAAGUGCUGUGUCUUGAGUCAAGUAAUUAACCUCAAGCUUGCUUGAACGAGUAUUUUCUGUCAAGCACAAAUAUUGAAUUGUAAAUCUCUUACUGUUCAUUGUCAAAUAUGCUACUCUGUAAACAGAUGCUUGAUCUCAAUGAAUUAUGAAUAUUCUAUGUUUA